rnacentral:rRNA from 1 species
GUCUUCGGAUGCUGACGAGUGGCGAACGGGUGAGUAAUACAUCGGAACGUGCCCAGACGUGGGGGAUAACGAGGCGAAAGCUUUGCUAAUACCGCAUACGAUCUAAGGAUGAAAGCAGGGGACCGCAAGGCCUUGCGCGUUUGGAGCGGCUGAUGGCAGAUUAGGUAGUUGGUGGGAUAAAAGCUUACCAAGCCGACGAUCUGUAGCUGGUCUGAGAGGACGACCAGCCACACUGGGACUGAGACACGGCCCAGACUCCUACGGGAGGCAGCAGUGGGGAAUUUUGGACAAUGGGCGAAAGCCUGAUCCAGCAAUGCCGCGUGCAGGAUGAAGGCCUUCGGGUUGUAAACUGCUUUUGUACGGAACGAAAAGGCUCUGGCUAAUACCUGGGGCACAUGACGGUACCGUAAGAAUAAGCACCGGCUAACUACGUGCCAGCAGCCGCGGUAAUACGUAGGGUGCGAGCGUUAAUCGGAAUUACUGGGCGUAAAGCGUGCGCAGGCGGUUUUGUAAGACAGAGGUGAAAUCCCCGGGCUCAACCUGGGAACUGCCUUUGUGACUGCAAAGCUGGAGUGCGGCAGAGGGGGAUGGAAUUCCGCGUG